GAUGAACGCUGACGGAAUGCUUAACACAUGCAAGUCAACCUGUGGCGGACGGGGGAGGAAGGCGUAAAGAACGUGACUUACAGGAAGGGAGAAGAUUAGGAAACGAAUGCGAAUAUAAAACACUGUGAGAGAGGUUUGCGUCCCAGUAGCUAGUAGGAGAGGUACCGGCGCACCAAGGCGAGGAUGGGUAGCCGGCCUGAGAGGGGGACCGGCCACAAGGGCACUGAGACACGACCAUUACUCCUACGGGAGGCAGCAGUGGAAAAUUUUGGACGAUAGACCGAAGUCUGAUCCAGCCAUUCUGUGUGCACGAUGAUGUUUUCGGAAUGUAGAGUGCUUUCUGUUGGGCAUCGGUACCAACAGAAGAAGUAACGGCUAAAUACGUGCCAGCCGCCGCGGUAAUUC
rnacentral:rRNA from 1 species